AGAGUUUGAUCAUGGCUCAGAACGAACGCUGGCGGCGUGCCUAAUACAUGCAAGUCGGACGUUAAGUGUAGCAAUACACUGAAAGUGGCGAACGGGUGAGUAACACGUAAGUAAUCUGCCUUUAAGAUUGGGAUAACCUUGCCAACGCGGGGCUAAUACCGGAUGUGGUUGACAUGACGCAUGUUGUGUUAAUUAAAGGAGUGAUCCGCUUAAAGAUGAACUUGCGGCCCAUUAGUUAGUUGGCGGGGUAAUGGCCCACCAAGACCGCGAUGGGUAGCCGGCCUGAGAGGGUGAACGGCCACAUUGGGACUGAGAUACGGCCCAGACUCCUACGGGAGGCAGCAGUAGGGAAUUUUGCGCAAUGGACGAAAGUCUGACGCAGCAACGCCGCGUGAGGGAUAAAGGUCUUCGGAUUGUAAACCUCUGUUGAAUGGGAAAAAAGGUAGCAAUAUUUGAUGGUACCAUUUGAGGAAGCACCGGCUAACUACGUGCCAGCAGCCGCGGUAAUACGUAGGGUGCAAGCGUUGUUCGGAAUCACUGGGCGUAAAGAGAGCGUAGGCGGGAUUGUAAGUUAGAAGUUUAAUACAAGGGCUCAACCCUUGAGCGGCUUUUAAUACUGCAGUUCUUGAAUGUGGGAGAGGGCGAUGGAAUUCCAGGUGUAGCGGUGGAAUGCGUAGAUAUCUGGAAGAACACCAGUAGCGAAGGCGGUCGCCUGGCCUAACAUUGACGCUGAGGCUCGAAAGCUAGGGGAGCAAACAGGAUUAGAUACCCUGGUAGUCCUAGCCGUAAACGAUGAACAUUAGUUGCCGGAGGAGUCAAUCUUUUUGGUGACGAAGCUAACGCAUUAAGUGUUCCGCCUGGGAAGUACGCUCGCAGGAGUGAAACUCAAAGGAAUUGACGG
rnacentral:rRNA from 1 species